rnacentral:lncRNA from 1 species
AGUCCCACAUCGCCAGUUUAUAGUCCGACCUCUCCAGCAUACAGCCCAACAUCUCCUGCAUACAGCCCGACAUCUCCAUCAUACAGCCCGACAUCGCCAUCAUACAGCCCUACUUCACCUUCAUACAGCCCUACCUCUCCAUCUUACAGCCCUACGUCUCCAUCAUACAGCCCUACGUCUCCUUCAUACAGCCCUACGUCUCCAUCAUACAGCCCGACAUCGCCCUCGUACAGCCCGACAUCGCCUGCAUACAGCCCGACAUCGCCUGGAUACAGCCCAACAUCGCCGAGCUACAGCCCUACUUCGCCAAACUACAGUCCAACUUCACCGAGCUACAAUCCUUCUUCGGCCAAGUACAGCCCUUCACAUGCUUAUUCUCCAAGCAGCCCAAGGAUGAUGAGCCCAUACAGUCAGACUUCUCCAAACUACAGGUACUGACCGUGACCUGGCACUCCUCUGGUAUUCUGUUCAUUGCUCGCUAUACUUAUUUUGCUUACAUCUGUUUCCCCAGCCCAACAUCACCGACUUACUCGCCCACCUCGCCGUCGUAUGCACAACCAAGUCCGUCAUACAGCCCGACA